AGAGGACUAUUCAGAUUCUGGAGGAUAUGCUUUGGGCAUGUGCCAUUGACUUUACCGAUUCAUGGGAUCGUUAUUUGCCUUUGGCAGAGUUUGCUUAUAACAACAGUUUCCAGGCGAGUAUUCAAAUGACACCGUUCGAGGUUCUUUAUGGGUGAAAGUGUCGAUCUCCGGUGUGUUGGAGCGAUGUGGGAGAGCGGAAGCUGCUGGGUCCAGAGAUGUUGUAGAUUGCAGAAGAGAAGGUGAAACUGAUCAAGGAGCGAUUGAAGACUGCUCAGAGUCGACAGAAGAGUUAUGCAAACAAGCGCCGCUUAGACCUAGAGUUUCAAGUUGGGGAUUCUGUUUUCCUGAGGACAUCUCCUAUGAAGUGCGUUGUGAGAUUUGGAAAGCGUGGGAAGCAAAACCCCCGUUACAUUGGACCUUUUGAGAUUGUCGAGCGAGUUAUCGCUUAGCCUUACUACCGAAUCUAGCGCAGGUUCACAAUGUCUUCCAUAUCCAUAUGCUGAGGAAGUAUCUGUCAGACCCAUCGCUUGUCAUUCAGUAGGAACCAGUGGAGCUUCGGAAGAAUUUGUCCAAUGAAUAGCAACCAGUGGAGUUCCGUUCAUACAAAGAGCAGCAGUGGGAAAACCAUGUGAUUCCAUUAAUCAAAGUCAGGUGGAGCAACCACUCAAGUGAUGAAGCUACUUGGGAGUGAGAGGUCGAUCUGAGGGAGCGCAAUCCCGAGUUGUUCCCCACUCUUAAAGUGAGUUUAGAGGACUAAACUCCUUUUAAGGGGGGGCGAGAUUGUAAUGUUUGCAACCUUGGCCAUGUUGACCAAGUUGGACAGAGAUAUUUGUUUCCUUUGACUAUUUGACCGAAUACUAGGCUUCCCGACACUGUUUCUCCUUAACCUGGCUUCUCACCCAGCUAGCUUCACACCCGUGAUGCUUCAGUCUUGUCGGGGUUGGUGGAAGGUUGCCUUUUAGAGCAACUCCCUCUUCUAGUCUUCCCAAUCUUCUUCAAGCUUCCUCCUUCUCCUUGUUGGAAGCUCCAAGCUUGGGUAUGCUGGUGGCUGUGCUUCAGCUGUUGGUGGGUCUGCGAUCUUGCCCUCUUAAGGAGAAGAUCAAGUCUAUUAUCGGGGGGUGUCUAGGAGUUGUAUUUUCUGCUUUUUGUCAGUAUCACUGUAGUGCACUUUUCUGUGAGUGUAAGGCUUGUAUUCUGACUGUAUUUGUACUUUGUAAACUAUUGGAUUGUCUUUGUAUUUUGUAGGGUUGUUAAAGCCCGUACUUGUAUUCUUUAAGUCUCUAGUAUCCUAUUUGUGCUUCU